UUGGAUUUUCUGCAACACCCAUACCCCAAGGUAGGUUGGGUGGGGCAGCUGGAGCCAGGUUGGGUGGGGCCGGUGGGAUCAUAGCGGGUGGAGCAGGGGAGAUCAUGUUGGGUGGACCCGGAGGGAUAAUGUUUGGUGGACCAAGAGGGACUAGGUUGGGUGGGGCUGCAGAGAUCAUAUUGGGUGGCACUGAAGGAGUCAGGAUUGGAGGUGGAGGCAGAGGGUUCAGGUUAGGUGGAGCUGGGGGGCCCAGAUUGGGUGGGGUUGGAUGGCCUAGAUUGGUUGGAGCUGGAGGGCCAAAGCUGGGUGGAGCUCGAGGGCCCAUGUUAGGUGGAACAGAAGGAGCUAG
rnacentral:lncRNA from 1 species